rnacentral:rRNA from 1 species
AUGCAGCAAAUCCAUAAAGAUAGGGAGGUGGGCUCCUGCCGGUCCCCCUGCCUCUGCCAUGCCACUUUGUGGUGGUGCGGUGUUUUAUGCAUGGUGUCUUCUCUGCUCCUUCGAGGGCGUCGGGGCACCUCCAGCCCCCUAUGGGUGACCAUGCCAGAUCUGGUUUACUCGUCGGGGGUUUUGGAGGUCUUGACAUGGCGGGGAGCCUCUCACGUGGCACUCGUGAGUGUGUUGGGCGUGUUGGUGGUGCGUUUUUGUCUUCAGUUUCAAUCGCUCAUCGAAAGGUGGGGGCUUCAUGUCCUUUGUACCUGGUUUUCGCCCGAUUUUUUCUAA